rnacentral:piRNA from 1 species
ACAUUGCACUGUGGAUACGUAUCUGUGU